CACGGCCACACCACCCUGAAUGCACCAAAUCUCAUCAGAUCUCAGAAGCAAAGCAGGGUCUGGCCAUGUUAGGACUUGGAUGGGAGAGCUACAGAUUAAGGGCAAUAGAGC
rnacentral:rRNA from 1 species